GACGAACGCUGGCGGCGUGCUUAACACAUGCAAGUCGAACGGAAGGGCCCUGCGUUUGUGUGGUGCUCGAGUGGCGAACGGGUGAGUAACACGUGAGUAACAUGCCCUUGACUUUGGGAUAACUUCAGGAAAAUGGGGCUCAUACCGGGUAGGAGCUCCUGCUGCAUGGGGGGGGUUGGAAAGUGUCGGCGGUUGGGGAUGGACUAGCGGCUUAUCAGCUUGUUGGUGGGGUAGUGGCGUACAAAGGCUUUGACGGGUAGGCGGCAUGAGAGGUUGACCGGCCACAAGGGGACUGAGAGACGGCCCAGACUCCUACGGGAGGCAGCAGUGGAGAAUAUUGCACAAUGGGCGGAAGCCUGAUGCAGCAACGCCGCGUGCGGGAUGCCGUCCUUCGGGUUGUAAACCUCUUUCGCAUGUGCCGAAGCGUGAGUGACGGUAAUGGGUAAAGAAGCACCGGCUAACUACGUG
rnacentral:rRNA from 1 species